ACCAGACAGUUCAUUGUUUGCUGCAGGAGCUGUCGUCAAAGCAAAAUUUAAAGCUGUUAGUUAUACUGAGGCUGCUGAUGCUGCACAUUUCAAGAAGAAUAAGAUAAUUAGAUUCCGUUUAUCUAUAGCUAUCUCCGACAAGUUUAGCCGGUUAUGGUCCAUAACGUGUUAUAAACAGGACAUUGCCAAACUCAACAUAUAUGGACCGGUUUGACAAUCUAUGGAAACAUGAAGAGGAAAGUUGCAAAAGUGGGUAACGUUAGAUUAAGAUUGAGUCCAAACGAAGAAGCACAACUCCUCAAAGAAGAACACGAAAGAAGAAGAAAACUAAGAUUGCAGCAGGUUCGAGAGCAAGAGCGGUGCAUUGCCCUACAGAUACGCAAGGAGGUGCAGCGCCGACGUGACCGUGAACUUCAGAACCUGUCUGACCAGCUGCAGGAGGAAUGGCAGAGACAGCAAAGCGAGAAGUUGCAGGCCCUGGAAAAGAUCUAUCAGGACAGCCUCAAUACUUUAGGCGAGGGUCAUCGGAAUGCCAAAG